rnacentral:rRNA from 1 species
GGAGUUGAACUGCAAGCUCCGGGGAUUCAGCUGAUGAGUGUGAUUGCGUUCGGGCAGCUUGGCCGGCCUUCUGAUGUCUGUCUAGUGGCAGGUGCCUUUCCCUUGGGGGUUGGUAUGUGUGAUGCGCUUACCAUGCGCCGCACGCAUUGGGGGUGAUGGGUCUGCUUGUCAGUGCACUUUCUCGGGGUGUUCACCACGACCGGCACAGCCGUCUGUCUGCUUUGGUCAAACUGAUCAGGUCUGGUUAUUGCUAGGCUUGGUUGGGAUGGAAGGUAGCCCGUGUUCACUUGUUGGACUUUGGGUAUAAUAACUGGCCACUGUGGAUCUGUAUGGUGUGUCGGAGAUGGCGGCUUUGCAUGCGUGCUCUGUCCUGCGGGCGGGAUUGAGUCCGGUUGGCUUGUUACUGACUUCGGUUAGUCGGUCGAUGGCUUAGUCUUGUUCAGUGGGCGGUUGCGUGUGUGACUUGGCUUGGGCCAAUAGUCUGUGGUGUAGUGGUAGACGAUCCACCUGACCCGUCUUGAAACACGGACCAAGGAGUUUAACAUAUGCGCGAGUCAUUGGGCGUUACGAAACCCAAAGGCGAAGUGAAGGUAAAGGUUUGGCUAGUCCGAACUGAGKKGAGAUCCCGUUGGUUUGCCUAAUUACUUACCGAGCUGUGAACAGCGGGGCGCAUCACCGGCCCGUCCCAUG